UACGAAGGGGGCUAGCGUUACUCGGAUUGACUGGGCGUAAAGGGCGCGUAGGCGGCUUGUACAGUCAGACGUGAAAUUCCUGGGCUCAACCUGGGGGCUGCGUUUGAUACGUGCGGGCUUGAGUUCGGAAGAGGGUCGUGGAAUUCCCAGUGUAGAGGUGAAAUUCGUAGAUAUUGGGAAGAACACCGGUGGCGAAGGCGGCGACCUGGUCCGAUACUGACGCUGAGGCGCGAAAGCCAGGGGAGCAAACGGG
rnacentral:rRNA from 1 species